rnacentral:rRNA from 1 species
GACGAACGCUGGCGGCGUGCUUAACACAUGCAAGUCGAACGGAAAGGCCCUGCUGUUGUCGGGUGCUCGAGUGGCGAACGGGUGAGUAACACGUGAGUAACCUGCCCUUGACUUUGGGAUAACUUCAGGAAACUGGGGCUAAUACCUGAUAGGAGCUCCUGCUGCAUGGUGUGGGGUGGAAAGUUUCGGCGGUUGGGGAUGGACUCGUGGCUUAGCAGCUUGUUGGUGGGGUAGUGGCUUACCAAGGCUUUGACGGGUAGCCGGACUGAGAGGGUGACCGGCCACAGUGGGACUCAGAUACGGGCCAGACUCCUACGGGCGGCAGCAGUGGGGAAUAUUGCACAAUGGGCGGCAGCCGGAUGCAGCAACGCCGCGUGCGGGAUGACGGCCUUCGGGUUGUAAACCGCUUUCGCCUGUGACGAAGCGUGAGUGACGGUAAUGGGUAAAGAAGCACCGGCUAACUACGUG